AUAUAACAACAUAAUAACACCAUAUCUCUGACACAGCUUCAUCACUAUAGUUAUAAUUGCUUCUGCAUAAUAUAGAUAACAAGAGUUUGGUUCAGAAAAUUUGGAUAGUAAAAACAGUUUUGCUGUCCAUUUCUAUAUAUCAGACAAAUUCAGCUUUGCAUUACUAUCAACAUACAUAUUCUGAGAAAAAAAAAAAAAAAAAAAAGGGGGAAAUAACUUUUAGUAAAGGUAGUAAAAACAGUUUUGCUGCCUUAUUGCUAUACAUUCCAAGUGAACCUGAUACAGUUAUAAAUAAGGAAAAGAAUUUAAAUAUUGUCUACGUCAUCCCAUCAUAUAACAACAUAAUAACACCAUAUCUCUGACACAGCUUCAUCACUAUAGUUAUAAUUGCUUCUGCAUAAUAUAGAUAACAAGAGUUUGGUUCAGAAAUCUUGGAUAGUAAAAACAGUUUUGCUGUCCAUUUUUAUAAAUCAGACAAAUUCAGCUUCUGCAUUACUAUCAACAUACAUUCCGCUAAGAGCAUUUAACUAGAGAUCAUCCUAUUUUUGUCAUAACCCUAUAUUUAUUCUAUAUUAUAAUCAUCAUAUAACCUGAUUCUUCAGCUUUAUCAUCAAGAUAGUAAAAACAGUUUUGCUGUCCAUAGGGAUCACCCUAUCUUACACAUAGCUUACAUACUCUGUGUCAUCUGUGCACCAAUUUAUAUAUGUUCGUCAAACGUCAAGGAUAGUAAAUACUGUUUUGCUGCCCAAAUUCUACCAAAUUUCUUAGAGAAAGGAAAACAACAAAGUCAACAAAUUUAUCAAGUCACAUUAGCUUAGGAAUAGUAAAGACUGCUUUGCUGUCCAAAAUUUAUCCAGAGUUAUUGAGAAAGAAAAGGCACUCCAGUAAUAAAAUCUGUCAACUUAUAUUGGCUUCAAAAUAGUAAAGACUGCUUUGCUAUAAAAAAAAAAAAAACAACAACAAACAACAAAUAAAUUUAUCCAGAGUUAUUAGAGAAAGGACAGGAACUUCAGUAAAAAUUGUCAAGUUCAUUGGCUUCAAAAUAGUAAAGACUGCUUUGCUGUCCAAAAUUUUAUCUAGUCUUAUUGGAAUAAGGAAAGGACCCUCAGUAAAUAAUUUUUGUCAAGAUUUAAUAGCUUCAGUAUAGUAAAGACUGCUUUGCUGUUAUCUGAUCUAAAAUGUCUUCUCCAAGGAGAUCACACAGAGAGAAAAUCUCUCCAUAUAGAUAUACACCAAGUCUAGCAGUUGCAAAACAUAAAGCACGACAAAAAAACAGGGAACGUUUGCAACUAUCUAGUCAAUUUACUCCAAAUAGAUUAACUCAAGGGAAAUCAACAGUGACUAAUUACUCACUAAAUCCAACCAAAGCAGCCC
rnacentral:lncRNA from 1 species